UACAGAGGUGGCAAGCGUUGUUUGGAAUUACUGGGCGUAAAGGGCGCGUAGGCGGCCAACUAAGUCAUACGUGAAAUCCCUCAGCUUAACUGGGGAACUGCGUGUGAUACUGGAUGGCUUGGAUUUGGGAGAGGGAUGCGGAAUUCCAGGUGUAGCGGUGAAAUGCGUAGAUAUCUGGAGGAACACCGGUGGCGAAGGCGGCAUCCUGGACCAAUAUUGACGCUGAGGAGCGAAAGCCAGGGGAGCAAACAGG
rnacentral:rRNA from 1 species